rnacentral:rRNA from 1 species
UACGUAGGGUCCGAGCGUUGUCCGGAGUUACUGGGCGUAAAGGGCGCGCAGGCGGCGGUGCUGGCCCGGCGAGAAAGCCCCCGGCUCAACCGGGGAGGGUCGUCGGGGACCGUCACCGUCUUGAGGGCGGUAGGGGCCGGUGGAAUGCCUGGUGUAGUGGUGAAAUGCGUAGAAGAUCAGGCAGAACACCUGGGGCGAAGGCGGCCGGGCGUGGGGCCCGGUCCCCUGGACGCUUGAGGCGCGAAGGCGUGGGGGAGCGAACGGGG